GAUGAACGCUGGCGGCGUGCCUAAUACAUGCAAGUCGAACGCUGGAGAUCUAGCUUGCUAGAUCGAAGGAGUGGCGAACGGGUGAGUAAUACAUAAGCAACCUACCCACGAAGAUUGGGAUAAUCUCUGGAAACGGGGACUAAUACCGGAUAGGUAAUCGGAAGGCAUCUUCUGGUUAUUAAAGGUUAAAAACACUGGUGGAUGGGCUUAUGGCGCAUUAGUUAGUUGGUGAGGUAACGGCCCACCAAGACGAUGAUGCGUAGCCGGCCUGAGAGGGUGAACGGCCACAUUGGGACUGAGACACGGCCCAGACUCCUACGGGAGGCAGCAGUAGGGAAUUUUCGGCAAUGGGGGCAACCCUGACCGAGCAACGCCGCGUGAGUGAAGACGGCCUUCGGGUUGUAAAGCUCUGUUGUAAGGGAAGAACGGUAGAUAGAGAAUAUCUAAGUGACGGUACCUUACCAGAAAGCCACGGCUAACUACGUG
rnacentral:rRNA from 1 species